rnacentral:lncRNA from 1 species
CAACUUUGGCAUUCCUCCUCCUCCCAACUAUCUCAAACAACAGCAUCCCAAAGCUAUAAACAUCACACUUAUGGGUUAUGGGAUGGUUUUUCAGUAAAAAUUCUGGUGCUGAGUAGCCUGGAGUCCCUCUAUAUCCUGAGACUGUCAGGUGGGUGCCGUCCCUGUUACAAAGCUUAGCAAGCCCAAAGUCUGCAACCUUAGGAAAGAAGUUAGCAUCAAGAAGAAUGUUACCGGGUUUUAUGUCAUAGUGAAUGAUUCUUUCUACACAUUCUUCAUGUAAGUAAGCUAUGCCCUUUGCUGUCCCAACUGCUAUAUGAUGCAGCUUCUCCCACUCGACUUCUUGUGCCUCGCUGAACAAGUACUUGUCCAGGGAUCCAUUUUCCAGGUAUUCGUAGACAAGUGCGCUCAUGAACUGAUCAUAGCAGAAACCAUAGAGCCUGACUAGAUUGAUAUGGUAAGUCCUGCCUAUGGUUCCCACCUCUGCCAUGAACUGUUCUUCAGCUUGUCUGUCUGGACUCCUAUUCAGGACCUUCACUGCAAUCUUGACCCCAUUGGGGAACUGCCCCUUGUAAACCAUUCCAAACCCUCCAGAACCCAGUGUUGUGGUGUAGUUAUCAGUGAAGCUGCAUAGCUGCUGAGCAGUGAACCUGACCGGCUUCUCCCUCGCUAAUUCUUGGAAGAACUUCUCCAUUGUUGGUGUAUCAACCUCCCAAACCUGUAUCGUAUUCACAGGUGGGGGAGCCACUGCCGCUUGCAAUUCUGUCACAAUAGCCUUCUUCGCUUUCCUUGCACAAACGAGAGAGAUAACAGCGAUAAUUCCAAGCACCACCAAGCUCAAUAUUACGGCUGCAAGUCAUGGGAGUUUGAACCAGUAAGAUCCCAACUUCAAACUGUUGUCUGUCAAUAUCGAAUUCCUUCGUAUUAUUGUCGCAGAAAGAACUUACCUCCUGCUGUAAUCCCAGAGUUGUUGCUUGGAGGAGAGUAGUCAUAUGAAGACAUCUACAAAGGUAGCAAAAUGGACCAAGUUAGAUAGGACUAUACAAUUCUCUAUUCAGUCAAGUAUAGAUAUAGAUUUUGUUUACAAAUCUCGCUGGCACCUUGGCUAGGUGAGCAAUUAAUUAACCAAAAAUUUCUUCAUUAGUUCAAGGUUUUGUGCAGUGCAGGCGUAUCAUACAUGACCCUUUAACAUACUAAGAACAAUCAAGUUAGUGAACUCACCCUCUUCGGAAGAUCACUCCUUGCUUUUCACCACCAGAAAUUGCAGCACAGCUUCUCUUUGCUCUUUGCUUCCUCCCAUUGCCUUUGUAUAUAUAUAUAUAUAUAUACAUGUAUUUGAGGGAGGAAGUUUUGGGGAAAUUUCUGUCAUAGGCCUUCAACUUGGUAGUCAACAAGGGGAAGGGAAAGAUCUACGGAACCUCUCUCUUUCACUAUCAAAUUCAAAGUGAAGAAGGAAAGAAAUUUCUCAAAAAAUUAUUUUAAUGGUAUGGAUUAUUAUGCCUAUGAGGGGAAGUUUCGGAAAAAUUCCUGCCAUUGACCUUCACGGUUGCAUUCAAAGAAUCAAAAAAUAAGAUAGAUAAAGGCAAGGAGAGAGCUACACCACCUUCGGCAAUGACAUGGAUUGGUAUCACGAAAUUUUUUAGAAAAGUCACUGACAGGCUUAAUUGCAAGGAGAUAUGGGAACUAAAUACAAGAGAAAUAUAAAUUUGUAAAAAAAAUUAUUAAUAUUUUUAAAUAUAAAAAUAUCUUCAUAUAUUAUCAUUUCUUUUAUAUCUUAAAUACAAAAUAAAUUACAUUUUAGUAUGUUUUCAAAAUUUUCAUAUUAUUACUAAGUACAGAAAUUUAUAUUAUACAUGCAUUAUUUUAUUUAAAUUCAAUAAAUAUAUUAUUACUUAUUUUAUUAUUUGCAAAGUUUUUUUAACAUUUAUAUGAGUUUUGAUUAAUUUUCAUAUAUUUUUUGUAACAAUAUUUCCCAUAUAUCCGAAAUAUCUAUAAAAUUUGACUAUUAAUAUAUAUGAGAAAACCAAUUUUUCAUUCUUAUUAUUAGAACGCAUAUGUAUUUUCUAAUUUUAUCUUUUAUUAUUAUUUUAAAUUUUAAAUUAUUAACUCUUUACUUUUAAUUUUUAAUUCUUAAUCUUUAAUUUUUAACGUUUAAAAUUUUAAAUUUCUAUUUUAUCUCAUUUGGGUAUAGUUCCUAUUUUUUAUUUUUAAAAUCAAAGCAAUAAUAACCUAUAUAUAAAAAAAAGUAAAAACUCUUUUACAAAAAAUAUAUAUUUAUGUUAUAUCUUCAAGAAUUUCUUUUAAAAAUAAAAAUAAAAAUUUCAGAUAGUAAACAUUACUUGUUAACGUAAGCUUCUAAAAGUUAUAAUAUAAAAAUUAUUACUAUUUUCUAUUUUUAAAAAUUGAAACAUGAAGCAUUCAAACAUAUACUAAAUUUUUAAUUUUUUAAAUAUUUAAUAAUAAUAAUAAUAAUAAUAAUAAUAUUUAGUAAUAAAUACAUAUAGGUCUAUUGAUAUUUAAUAGGCCGGCCACUAACCACCCAACCUAUUGAAUGCUGAUUGGGAUAUAUAUAUAUAUAUAUAUAGGUCUUUGUUGACCGGGUAUUAGAAGAAGUGAUGAUAUCAAUGCGUUGGCUAAGUUUGGUAGAGGAAAUUUCCUUGUUAAAUGUGGUAUUUGAAAUGCCACUCCCACCUUUCUCUUUCACCGUCAAGUGGAGAAAGAAAGAAAAGAAAGGACUAACAAGAACUUAAUGGUAUUUGGCUAUUUGCAGGGAUUUAGCAUGGUCUUCCCAUGAGCUCUGCUCAUCCUCACUCCACCAAAUUAGUACGCAAACGCAUCAUCAAAACUUAGCUGAACUUAACGAUAUAUAAGCAUAUUGCCCUAAAACAUGAUCAACUUACAUGGUGUAUAGCUAACACAAAGGCAACUACAAUAAUAUUAUACUACAAAUUUUUUAACAAACUCUACUUCAAUUUUCUUCUCAUUUCAUAGUUGAAACUUGAACCUCUCUCCCUUGAGUGCUUCCAUAGUUAAGAACUAGCUACUUGUAUCUCAUACUUGGCCAUGAUUGGUGUGGUUUCCUUGUACCAAAUUGAAUUGGUUUCUUUACUUGUUGCAUAGCUUGAACUUGUACCGGUUUCAUUUGCCUGCUGUAACACGUUUAUACCUACUGAGUAUAGAUAAUGAAACGGUUUUGGUGGUGGCAUGACUUCUACUCCUCCCUCCAGCAUCUUUACCACAGCACUCAUCAGAGGCCUUGAGUCGGGUGAGUCCUGAACACACCAUAGAGCCACCAUAGACAUUCUCUCUGCUUUCUCCCUGUCCUUCUCUUCAAUUCCACAGGCCACAGUCAUUGCUGCUAAAUCCCCUUUCUCAUACUCUUCCCAAACAUGUUUGGGGAACCAAUCCAUGCUCUCAUUAGAACCAAUUUUGGCAUUCCUCCUCCUCCCAACUAUCUCAAACAACAGCAUCCCAAAGCUAUAAACAUCACAUUUAUGGGUUAUAGGAUGGUUUUUCAGUAAAAAUUCUGGGGCCGAAUAGCCUGGAGUCCCUCUAUAUCCUGAGACUGUCAGGUGGGUGUUGUCCCUGUUACAAAGCUUAGCAAGCCCGAAGUCUGCAACCUUAGGAAAGAAGUUAGCAUCAAGGAGAACGUUGCCAGGUUUUAUGUCAUAGUGAAUGAUUCUUUGUACACAUUCUUCAUGUAAGUAAGCUAUGCCCUUUGCUGUUCCAACUGCUAUAUGAUGCAGUUUCUCCCACUCGAUUUCUCGUGCCUCACUGAACAAGUACUUGUCCAGGGAUCCGUUUUCCAGGUAUUCGUAGACAAGUGCACUCAUGAACUGAUCAUGGCAGAACCCAUAGAGCCUGACUAGAUUCAUAUGGUAAGUUCUGCCUAUGGUUCCCACCUCUGCCAUGAACUGUUCUCCAGCUUGUCUGUCUGGACUCCUAUUCAGGACCUUCACUGCAAUCUUGACCCCAUUCAGGAACUGCCCUUUGUAAACCACUCCAAACCCUCCAGAACCUAGUGUUGUCGAGUAGUUAGCAGUGAAACUGCAUAGCUGUUGAGCAGUGAAUCUGACUGGCUUCUCUUUUGCUAUUUCUUGGAAGAACCUCUCCAUUGUUGGUGCAUCAACCUCCCUCGCCUGCAAUUCUUUCACAAUGGGCUUCCUUGCUUUCCUUGCACAAAGGAGAUAGAUAACAGCGAUUUUUCCUACUACCACCAAGCUCGAUACUAUGACUGCAAGUCAUGGGAAUUUGAAUCAAUAAGAUCCCAACUUCAAUCUGUUGUAUAUAUUUCUCACAGAAAGCACUUACCUGCUGCUGCAACCCCAGAGUUGUUGUCUGUCGGAGGAGAGAAGUCUGAAGACAUCUACAAAGGCAGCAAAUUGGACUAAGUUAGAUAGGACUAUACAAUUCGCUAUUCAGUUGAAGUAUUUAUGUCGAUUUUGGGUACAAAUCCCCUGGGCACCUUGGCUAAGUGAGUGGUUAAUUAACCGAAAUUUUCUUCAUUAGUUCAAAGUUUUGUGCAUUGCAGGCUUGUUAAUCAUUCAUGAACCUUCAACAUACUAAGAACAAUCAGGUUAGUGAACUCACCCUCUUUGGAAGAUCACUCCUUGCUUUUCACCACCAAUGCACCACAACUUCUCUUCGCUCUUUGCUUCCCCCCACUGCCUUGACCUGAAAAUUCACCAAAGUUUCUUCACUCCUGAAUCAUAAUUCUGCAAUGGGUGUGAAGGGAAGAAGUUUUUGGGAAAUUUCUGUGACAUCUCUGCCGACUAACUUGGUCAAAAUUCUAUGGUACCCAUGUGGUCGGUACCAAAGUUAGAUUUUUGACCGUUGAAUUUAAAUAUUUUAAUCAUGACCGUUGAUCUAGAUUGUACGAAAAGGGGAAAACUUGCGUGUAAUCAGUUUCUUGUUAAGUGUAUUGUUUAAAAUGAUGAUCUAAUGAUAAUUAAGUAAUGAUAUUUUAUAUUAUUAAAUAUAUAAUUUAUAAUAAAUAAAAAAUAAUAUAUUAUCUAAUUUCUUUUUUAUUUUUAUUUAAAAAUGUAUCUAAUAAUAAUUUUAGUUUUUUUAUCAAUAAUUUGAGUUUAUUUUGAAUUUAAAUUUUACUAUAUUAGAUAACUAAAAAAAAAAAAUCAAUUUCAAUAUAAAUCAAUUAAAAAUGGAUUUUAAUUUAAUGUAAUUCUCAUAAAUAAAUUAAAAUAUAUUUUUCAUUUAAAAUAUUUAUUUUUUAACAUGAAAGUACUAAGGAUAAAAAAAUCAAUUUAAAAAAGAUAAAUUUUACAAUAAAAUUAUUUAAUAACAAGAAUCUUUAUUUUAUAAAAUGGAUAAAUAUGAAAAAAAUGUUAUAAAAUUAUUAAAUGUGAAUGUUAAUAUUUUAUAAAUCAAUUAAAAUAGAUAUUUUAUAAUUUUAAUUUUCUUUUAUUAAGGAUUUAAUUUAAAAUAAAUAUUUUAAUUUAAAAAAAAUUAAAUUUAUUAUAAGGCUCAUUCAAUAAUAUAAAUAGUGUUUUAUAAAAUAAAAUAAAAAAGUUUAAAAUUGAAUAAAAAAUUAUAGAAAUUUAUAAUUCAUUGAUCAUAUUUUGUUAUAAGUUGUUGAUAAGUCUCUAUUGUUAAGUGUAUUUAGUAACUUUUAUAUAGAACUUCUACUUAGAUGAGUUAGUUGGGUUGAUCGUUAAUCUAAGUCCAACCUAACUCAACUUCAUUUUUUUUUUAAGUUUGGAUUAGUCAAAUUAAACCGAUGUUGAUUGAACUUUGACUAUAGACUAUUCAUGAGACUCAAUAUUUAGAUUGUCAUCGUAUUGGUGAAAAAAGAUUUCAUAAUGAAAUGAUUCUCAUUGCUUUCUCUCUAUCAUUGGUAAGUUGUACUCAUGUGUCAGUGUUGUUGGAUUGUGUGACGUAUUUGUCACCAUGGGUUGAUCAAACUUUGACCAUAGCCAAUUCAAAAGCGACACCAUAUAUUUUUAAUGAUGCUUAAUUUGAUAUAGAGUUGUUUGAGAUAUAUAAUGUGUUAUAUUAAAUGCAUCACCUUUGAGUUAUGGUGUCACAUCAUUGUAAAUGAUUAUGAAAGAUAUGGUUGUUUUUUGUUGAUUAGCCUGUUAAUAAAUAAGAUCAACUUGUGCAUAUUUUGUCCAUAAAUAUAAUAAUCAUAUCACAUUUAACUUAUAUUUUUGUAAUGCUUAUGGAUUAACCUGUAAUACAUUACAUCAUCUAGUAAUAUUUGCAUAUCAAAUGUUCACAAAACGAUAGUACAUCAAACCUACCAAAACUAAAAAAGAAAAGUGAAUGCACAUUAAAACAUGAUUUAGAAAUGUUAAGCAUCCCAACAUUCAUGUAUACCUGCAUUUCAUAUGCAUAAAACCGGUUAACCGUAAAAUGACACAAGAGUUGCAUCCAAAAACCCAAAAUUCUCAAUACCAAAUAAAGUAACGUUUAUAUCCUAUAAUGUAUGGCAUCAGAGUCACAUCUAAAAACCAAAAAUCUUGUUGCCUCUUUCUCUUUUCUUUUUAUUCUUCAUACUGUCCUCCCAAAAGUGUAUCCUGCAUUUCAUAGUUUAAUGAGUUUUAAAGCUCUUAUUGAAAAUAAAAAUUAAUUAAUGUUAUAAAAAAUAAAUAAAUAAAUCUAAGGACUGAUGUUUUCUUUUUUCUUUUUCCCAUUUUGAUAUCAAAAUAAUUCGUAAAGAAUAAGUAAUGUCAUACAAUACUAAUGGAAAAUUCAUAUGACAACUAAGGGACUCACCAUGCAUGAUCACGAUACAUCAACAUGAUUCAUAAUUAGUCAUAACAUAAAAAUAGUCAAUUGUCUUCUAAUUUCAUCAAAUUCUACUUAAGAAUAUGUUUUUUUUUAUCAUCAAACUGAAAUCAAAUGAGAAUAACAUUAAUAUCACAAUAAUUGGAAGAUGAAAUUAUGUACAAUUCAUUAAAUGAGUAAAACCUUUAAUACAAUAACUAUAGAAUCAACAAUUAUCUCUUUAAUGAAUCUCAUAACAAAGUAGUCACAUUUGAACUCAAAUAAAAAUAAUUCAAGAAAAUAAAAAAUAAAUCAAAACUACAAAAUCAAAAUAUAAAUCUAAAAUUUUAGAAAAUACUAAUCUUCCACUUAAAAUCUGCACUUUUUAAAUUUAUUUUUUAUAAUUCAUUAUGUUUUUAAAAAUCAUUUUUAACAUUUAAUUCUUUUUAUAUAUAUAUAUUUUUUAUUUCUUGGAAGGAUUUUCUUAAUUUCAAUAUUUUUUAAUGUUCAUUUUGUGAAAUAAUAAUGUUCAUUAAAUUUCAUCUCAAUUAUAUAAAAUAAAAUUUUAGUAACAAAAUAUAAAAAUGUUUUCAACUACUAAUAUGAUAGGACAUGAUAUUAUAACAAGCAUGAAAAUUGUGUAUAUAAGACCAAAAACCUAAUUCAUUAUUAAAAAAUGUUAAGAGAAAAAAUAGUAUGAGAAAGAAUUAAACAAUUUUUCAUAAAAAUUAUUGAUUUUUCGGUUAUAACUCCAAUUGAUAUUUUUUUUUCUAAUUAAAAUAAUUAAUAAAAAAUUUUGGAUAUGAAAAAUAUGUUCAAAUAAAAAUAAUAACAAUUUUAAAAUAUCAAAGGAAAAGAUAUUCAAUAUUUUAAAUUUUUUACUUUUAAUAUUCUUCAGAUCAAUAAAUUAUCAAACAUCUUUUUCAAAAAAAAAAAAAUUGAAGAAAAGGAAGACCUUUGUGAAAGGAAUUGGAAAUUUUUUUGUAAUAAAAUGAUUUUAUAGAAAUUUCAUAACCUUGAAAGGAAAAUUUCAUCAUCAAUUUCAAAUUACUCCAAAAUUUAGUCAAUGCAUAUAAAAACAAUAAGAAAAAAAAGACAAAAAUAAAACAUAUUUUGAGAAUCCUUUUGCGGGAGAUGACAAUAUUGCGAAUAAUUUUUGAGAAAAUUAUUUUCCUAAUAUGACCAACCAAUAUCUUCAUCACAACAUACUAUAAUAUUCUUAGAAAAUAAACAAAUUAAAGGAAUUUUCAUUAAAAAUCAAAAGAAAAUUAUAAAACAUCUUCUUAAAAAAAAAAAGUUUUAUAGAAGGAAUUAAAAAAAUUUAUGUAAUAAAAGGAUUUUAUAGAAAUUUUCUAACCUUGAAAGAGAAAUUCUAAAUUUUGGUCAACGCAUAUAAAAACAAUAAGAAAAUAAAGUAAAAACAAAAAACAAAAAACAAAAAACAUAUUUCAAGAAUAGAAAAAAUAUAAAUAGAACAAGAUGAGAUAUUAACCAUAAUACCAAGUAAAAUAAUAAUAAAAAAAAUCAAAAUAUAAGAUUUGAUCAUUUUUAUAAUUAUAAAAAUUUUCAUUCCUAUUUAAAAUUUAAAAAACAAUUCAUUUACAUGAAUAAAUAAAUAAUUAAACUAAUUUUUCAUUGUUAAUUCCAACAUUCCAAACCAAUGCCAAUAUGAUAUGGAAAUUAUUUCAUUUUUCCUUUUGUGGGAGAUGACAAUAUUAAGAAUAACUUUCUAAAAAAUUAUUUUUCAUGAGUGUGAGAAGAGGUAGAAGAAAAUUAUGGUUAGGGUUAUGGAAUGAGAUUUUUUUUUGGAUCGGGAGUAUGUGGAAACAAUGAGUUUUUUAUAUAUUAUUAUUAUUCUCAAAGUGGGCCCGUUAAAUUAUAGUAUUUUAAAAUUUUUAUUUUAUAUGGUGUCACUUUUCAAAAACUGACACUAUAAACUUAAAAUUAAUAUCAUCUAUCUUAAUUAAAAAAAUUUAUAUGAUGUGUCACCUUUAUGGAUUUUAAGUCAUAUGGUGUCUUUAUUUUAAAAGUGACACCAUAAAUUAUUUUUGUAGUAGUGAUUCUUUACUUAGGAUGUUACGGGUUAAGCUAUCGAAUCAACUCUUAGGGUUAAAGGAGUGUUAACGUUCUAAAGAAUUUUUUUAUGUGAUAAAUGACGAAUUUAGCCUCAUUAUAUAUUUAAACUUCUUAUGAAUUAGGAUUUUUUAGAGAGCGUGAUCAUAAUUAAGAAAUUUUUUUGAGAGUUUUACCAUUAUAAUCUUUCUUUUCUUUUGAUUAGUGGAUUCUUAAAUGUUAAUAUAUUUUAUGGACUUAAGAAUCACAUUGAUCAUCGAACCACAUUAAAAAAUUUAUGUUUUUAUUUAUUUUCUGUUAAUGUGUACAUGAUUUGAUUAAAAAGUGUCACCAUGUUCUUUAGCUUGUCUGUCUAACCUCUUGUUUAGGAACUGUUAGAAGAGUGAUCGACCUCCCCAUCUCAUAAAGAACUUCUUUUGAAUCAUUUUCCAGUUUUAUUAAUCACCUUAUUUUUGUUAAUAGUAAUAUUUGCUUUCUGCAUGAAAUUAUGUUCAUUAUUUUCACUGAAUAUGAAAUUAUUUAAGCUAUGUUAUAUAACCAUUACAUUGAAUUUUGCCCAGAUGUCCAUUGGGCAUCUGGACACCAGUGGAACCAUGGCCACUGCAUGUCAGAACAAGCAAAAGUACGUGGUCUAAUGAUAUUUAAUAGGUCGGCUACUAACCACCCAACUCAUUGAAUGCUGAUUGAGACUCUUAUAUGGAACCAUGCAUGGCCACUGCAUAUUCGGUCAAGCAAAAGAAAGUGGUCUAAUGAUAUUUAAUAGGUCGGCUACUAACCAGCCAACUUAUUGAAUGUUGACUGGGACUCUUAUAUAGGUCUAUGUUGACUGAAUAUUAGAAGAAGUGAUGAUAUAUAAGCAUGUUGCCCUAAAACAUGAUCGACUUAUAGGAUAUAUAGUUUGUUAUGCCAAUGAAAGCUUUGAUGCCAACAAUGUUAGUUCAAGAACACAAAGAUAAAACAAUCACACAUACGGUACACGAGGUUUUAACGUGGUUCAGCCAACUAUGCCUACGUCCACAGAUAAGAGAGAAUAAUUCCACUAUACAAUAGAGAAUAUUACAGAGGACAUAAUCAAAUACAACUAUUGGGUUCCCGAAACAUCACAUAUUUCCCCACUCUUUGUAUCUAUACCCUACUACGAGCCAUCUCGCUCCACAGAGUACCUCCCAUUCUUCCUCACAUCUCUAUCCACCUCGUAUAGUUUUUAUAAGCCCAUUUCCAUCUCAUAACUUUUCCCCCUCAUGACCUAGAAUAUUUAUAGAGAUAUUUCCAACAACCUUCCUUAUUCUAUAAGGAAGUCUAUAUUACAAUAAUAUAUCAACCUAGAAGUAUUCUAUAUAAUAUUCUUUAUAAAAAAAGAAUCUAUACUAAUUAGGAAUUUGGGACACGUCCUAACAAUCUCCACCUUGGACCAAAUUCCAUGAAGUUAAUCUCCAAUCUCUCCAUGACACAAAUCUUUUUGUAUCGUAUCACCACGAAAGAGCAAUCGACUCCACCUUCAGUGAAAAUUCCUUUUGUUUUCAUCUUGUGUGCUUUGUGAUCUUUUACUCUUCCAGAAAUCUCAACCCAAGCUCUGAUACCAGUUGAAGGGAAUUAAGUCGAAUUCUCAACCUGUUUUCCCACAGUUCCAGCAUUAUACUUGUUGGCCUGAUUUAGAUUUGCUUCUGUUCUGAUUAGAAUUUCUGGAUUUUGAUCUACCCCAGUUUGAAUUUCUGUCAUUACCUCUGCUUCUUGUCUCAAGGUUUAGGGCAGAACCAAAUCCUGAGGUUUCGCCUGCAUCUCUUCGGCGAAUCUCCUCAGCCAGAAUUAAAUCUCGUAUAUCAUUGUACUUGAGCUUUUCCUUUCCCAUAGAAUUGCUUACUGUCAUCCUCAUUGUCUCCCAACUAUUUGGCAAAGAAGCUAAGACGAUCAGAGCACGAAUCUCAUCAUCAAAAUCAAUUUCUACAUACGACAAUUGAUUUGUAAUUGUAUUAAAUUCAUUCAGAUGUUGUGCUAUUGAUGCAUUUUCUGUCAUCUUCAAAUUGAACAAUUUCUUCAUCAGAUGCACCUUAUUGUUUUCGGACGGCUUUUCAUACAUACCGGACAAAGCCUUCAUCAGAUCUGUUGUGGUCUUCUCUUUUACAACAUUGUGUGCAACAGACCUAGACAAAGUUAACCUAAUAACUCCUAGAACCUAUAUGUCAAGAAGCACCCAUUCCUUAACCUUCAUACUCUCAGGUUUUGUCCCCAAAAGAGGCAGAUGCAAUUUCUUCUCAUAGAGAUAAUCUUCAAUCUGCAUCCUCUAAUACGCAAAGUCUGUGCCAUCAAACUUUUCUAUUCUAGAUGUCUUUCCUGCUUCCUCUGCCAUUGCUCCCACUCAAACCUAAUCCUAGGCUCUGAUACCAGUUGAAGGGAAUUAAGCCGAAUUCCCAACCUGUGAGAAACAAAAAAAAAUAGAGAAAACACACGCCAAAGAAAAACAAUCAACGCACAAGAAAGUCUACGUCCAUGAAGUUGCAGGGAUAUCACUAUUAUCAGGGAAAAAUCCAGAGUACAACAAUUGCGGCUACAAUAUUUUCUCUCUAUAUAUAACACAACAACUACACCACACUAAAAAACCCUAAUUACAAAAGAUGGUUCCACAAUGGGCUAAGCGGGCCCAAAAGCCCAAGCCUUCGCUCCAUGGACUAAGACUCAGUAAAUCUCCCAUUAAAAAACCACGUAAUAUUAUUCGAGUCGGGUCGCCAAACCGGAUCAAACAAAACUAGGCUCCACAAAGCCUGACAUAAACACACAAAGGCAACUACAAUAAUAUUAUACAACAAAUUUUUAACAAAAUCUACUUCAAUUUGAACCUCUCUCCCUUGAGUGUUUCCAUGGUUAAGAACUAGCUACUUGUAUCUCAUACUUGGCCAUGAUUGGUGUGGUUUCCUUGUACCAAAUUGAAUUGGGUUCUUCACUUGUUGCAUAGCUUGAACUUGUACCGGUUUCAUUUGCCUGCUAGAACAUGUUCAUCCCUAUUGAGUACAGAUAAUGAAAUGGUUUUGGCGGGGGCAUGACUUCUACUCCUUCCUCCAACAUCUUUACCAUAGUACUCAUCGGAGGCCUCGAGUCGGGUGAGUCCUGGACACACUAUAGAGCCACCAUAGACAUUCUCUCUGUUUUCUCCCUGUUCUUCUCUUCAAUUCCACAGGCCACAGUCAUUGCUGCUAAAUUCCCUUUCUCAUACUCUUCCCAAACAUGUUUGAAGAACCAAUCCAUGCUAUCAUUAGAACCGACUUUGGCAUUCCUUCUUCUCCCAACUAUCUCAAACAACAACAUCCCAAAGCUAAAAACAUCACAUUUAUUGGUUAUGGGAAGGUUUUUCAGUAAAAAUUCUGGUGCUGAGUAGCCUGGAGUCCCUCUAUAUCCCGAGACUGUCAGGUGAGUGUUGUCCCUGUUACAAAGCUUAGCAAGCCCAAAGUCUGCAACCUUAGGAAAGAAGUUAGCAUCAAGGAGAACGUUACCGGGUUUUAUGUCAUAGUGAGUGAUUCUUUGUACACAUUCUUCAUAUAAGUAAGCUAUGCCCUUUGUUGUCCUAACUGUUAUAUGAUGCAGCUUCUCCCACUCGAUUUCUCUUGCCUCGCUGAAUAAGUACUUGUCUAGGGAUUCGUUUUCCAGGUAUUUGUAGACAAGUGCGCUCAUGAACUGAUCAUAGCAGAAACCAUAGAGCCUGACUAGAUUGAUAUGGUAAGUUCUGCCUAUGGUUCCCACCUCUGCCAUGAACUGUUCUUCAGUUUGUCUGUCCGAAUUCCUAUUCAGGAC